UACGUAGGAGGCGAGCGUUUGUCCGGAAUUACUGGGCGUAAAGAGCGCGUAGGCGGCGCUGUACGACCCGUGUGAAAGCCCCCGGCUCAACUGGGGAGGGUCACGGGUAACGGCAGUGCUCUGAGUGCAGGAGAGGGAAGUGGAACUCCGGGAGUAGCGGUGAAAUGCGUAGAGACCCGGAGGAACACCGGUGGCGAAGGCAGCCCCCUGGGCUAACGACUGACGCUCAGGCACGAA
rnacentral:rRNA from 1 species